rnacentral:rRNA from 1 species
AGCAUAUCAGAAGGCACACCCGGAGAACUGAAACAUCUUAGUACCCGGAGGAAGAGAAAGAAAAUUCGAUUCCCUUAGUAGCGGCGAGCGAAACGGGAAGAGCCCAAACCAACAAGCUUGCUUGUUGGGGUUGUAGGACACUCUAUACGGAGUUACAAAGGACGACAUUAGACGAAUCAUCUGGAAAGAUGAAUCAAAGAAGGUAAUAAUCCUGUAGUCGAAAAUGUUGUCUCUCUUGAGUGGAUCCUGAGUACGACGGAGCACGUGAAAUUCCGUCGGAAUCUGGGAGGACCAUCUCCUAAGGCUAAAUACUCUCUAGUGACCGAUAGUGAACCAGUACCGUGAGGGAAAGGUGAAAAGCACCCCGGAAGGGGAGUGAAAUAGAACCUGAAACCGUGUGCUUACAAGUAGUCAGAGCCCGUUAAUGGGUGAUGGCGUGCCUUUUGUAGAAUGAACCGGCGAGUUACGAUUUGAUGCAAGGUUAAGCAGUAAAUGUGGAGCCGUAGCGAAAGCGAGUCUGAAUAGGGCGUUUAGUAUUUGGUCGUAGACCCGAAACCAGGUGAUCUACCCUUGGUCAGGUUGAAGUUCAGGUAACACUGAAUGGAGGACCGAACCGACUUACGUUGAAAAGUGAGCGGAUGAACUGAGGGUAGCGGAGAAAUUCCAAUCGAACCUGGAGAUAGCUGGUUCUCUCCGAAAUAGCUUUAGGGCUAGCCUCAAGUGAUGAUUAUUGGAGGUAGAGCACUGUUUGGACGAGGGGCCCCUCUCGGGUUACCGAAUUCAGACAAACUCCGAAUGCCAAUUAAUUUAACUUGGGAGUCAGAACAUGGGUGAUAAGGUCCGUGUUCGAAAGGGAAACAGCCCAGACCACCAGCUAAGGUCCCAAAAUAUAUGUUAAGUGGAAAAGGAUGUGGCGUUGCCCAGACAACUAGGAUGUUGGCUUAGAAGCAGCCAUCAUUUAAAGAGUGCGUAAUAGCUCACUAGUCGAGUGACACUGCGCCGAAAAUGUACCGGGGCUAAACAUAUUACCGAAGCUGUGGAUUGUCCUUUGGACAAUGGUAGGAGAGCGUUCUAAGGGCGUUGAAGCAUGAUCGUAAGGACAUGUGGAGCGCUUAGAAGUGAGAAUGCCGGUGUGAGUAGCGAAAGACGGGUGAGAAUCCCGUCCACCGAUUGACUAAGGUUUCCAGAGGAAGGCUCGUCCGCUCUGGGUUAGUCGGGUCCUAAGCUGAGGCCGACAGGCGUAGGCGAUGGAUAACAGGUUGAUAUUCCUGUACCACCUAUAAUCGUUUUAAUCGAUGGGGGGACGCAGUAGGAUAGGCGAAGCGUGCGAUUGGAUUGCACGUCUAAGCAGUAAGGCUGAGUAUUAGGCAAAUCCGGUACUCGUUAAGGCUGAGCUGUGAUGGGGAGAAGACAUUGUGUCUUCGAGUCGUUGAUUUCACACUGCCGAGAAAAGCCUCUAGAUAGAAAAUAGGUGCCCGUACCGCAAACCGACACAGGUAGUCAAGAUGAGAAUUCUAAGGUGAGCGAGCGAACUCUCGUUAAGGAACUCGGCAAAAUGACCCCGUAACUUCGGGAGAAGGGGUGCUCUUUAGGGUUAACGCCCAGAAGAGCCGCAGUGAAUAGGCCCAAGCGACUGUUUAUCAAAAACACAGGUCUCUGCUAAACCGUAAGGUGAUGUAUAGGGGCUGACGCCUGCCCGGUGCUGGAAGGUUAAGAGGAGUGGUUAGCUUCUGCGAAGCUACGAAUCGAAGCCCCAGUAAACGGCGGCCGUAACUAUAACGGUCCUAAGGUAGCGAAAUUCCUUGUCGGGUAAGUUCCGACCCGCACGAAAGGCGUAACGAUUUGGGCACUGUCUCAACGAGAGACUCGGUGAAAUCAUAGUACCUGUGAAGAUGCAGGUUACCCGCGACAGGACGGAAAGACCCCGUGGAGCUUUACUGUAGCCUGAUAUUGAAAUUCGGCACAGCUUGUACAGGAUAGGUAGGAGCCUUUGAAACGUGAGCGCUAGCUUACGUGGAGGCGCUGGUGGGAUACUACCCUAGCUGUGUUGGCUUUCUAACCCGCACCACUUAUCGUGGUGGGAGACAGUGUCAGGCGGGCAGUUUGACUGGGGCGGUCGCCUCCUAAAAGGUAACGGAGGCGCUCAAAGGUUCCCUCAGAAUGGUUGGAAAUCAUUCAUAGAGUGUAAAGGCAUAAGGGAGCUUGACUGCGAGACCUACAAGUCGAGCAGGGUCGAAAGACGGACUUAGUGAUCCGGUGGUUCCGCAUGGAAGGGCCAUCGCUCAACGGAUAAAAGCUACCCCGGGGAUAACAGGCUUAUCUCCCCCAAGAGUUCACAUCGACGGGGAGGUUUGGCACCUCGAUGUCGGCUCAUCGCAUCCUGGGGCUGUAGUCGGUCCCAAGGGUUGGGCUGUUCGCCCAUUAAAGCGGUACGCGAGCUGGGUUCAGAACGUCGUGAGACAGUUCGGUCCCUAUCCGUCGUGGGCGUAGGAAAUUUGAGAGGAGCUGUCCUUAGUACGAGAGGACCGGGAUGGACAUACCUCUGGUGUACCAGUUGUCGUGCCAACGGCAUAGCUGGGUAGCUAUGUGUGGACGGGAUAAGUGCUGAAAGCAUCUAAGCAUGAAGCCCCCCUCAAGAUGAGAUUUCCCAACUUCGGUUAUAAGAUCCCUCAAAGAUGAUGAGGUUAAUAGGUUCGAGGUGGAAGCAUGGUGACAUGUGGAGCUGACGAAUACUAAUCGAUCGAAGACUUAAUCAA